GAUGAACGCUGGCGGCGUGCUUAACACAUGCAAGUCGAACGGGAUCCAAGGGGUGCUUGCACUUUUUGGUGAGAGUGGCGAACGGGUGAGUAACACGUGAGUAACCUGUCCUUUUCUUUGGGAUAAGCAUUCGAAAGGGUGUUUAAUACCUUAUGUUCUGUCUGCCUCGCAUGGGGUGGGUGGGAAAGGCUUUGGCCGGAUUUGGGUGGGCUCGCGGUCUAUCAGCGUGUUGGUGGGGUGAUGGCUUACCAAGGCUUUGACGGGUAGCCGGCCUGAGAGGGUGGUCGGUCACAUUGGGACUGAGAUACGGCCCAGACUCCUGCGGGAGGCAGCAGUGGGGGAUAUUGCACAAUGGGCGAAAGCCUGAUGCAGCGACGCCGCGUGGGGGAUGAAGGCCUUCGGGUUGUAAACUUCUUUUGCUCUGAACAAGGCAUGCCAGUGGGUGUGUUGAGUGUAGGGGUUGAUUAGCGCCGGCUAACUACGUG
rnacentral:rRNA from 1 species